rnacentral:rRNA from 1 species
UACGUAGGGUGCGAGCGUUAAUCGGAAUUACUGGGCGUAAAGCGUGCGCAGGCGGUGAGCUGUGUCCGAUGUGAAAGCCCCACGCUCAACGUGGGAAUGGCCAACGAGACGGCCCGACUGGAGGCAGGGAGAGGCCGGUGGAAUUCCGGGUGUAGUGGUGAAAUGCGUAGAGAUCCGGAGGAACACCAGAGGCGAAGGCGGCCGGCUGGACCUGACCUGACGCUGAGGCACGAAGGCGUGGGGAGCGAACGGGG